rnacentral:rRNA from 1 species
UACGAAGGGGGCUAGCGUUGCUCGGAAUUACUGGGCGUAAAGCGCACGUAGGCGGCUUUCUAAGUCGGGGGUGAAAUCCUGGAGCUCAACUCCAGAACUGCCUUCGAUACUGGAGAGCUUGAGUCCGGGAGAGGUGAGUGGAACUGCGAGUGUAGAGGUGAAAUUCGUAGAUAUUCGCAAGAACACCGGUGGCGAAGGCGGCUCACUGGCUCGUAACUGACGCUCAUGCACGACAGCGUGGGAUCAAACAGG